rnacentral:lncRNA from 1 species
ACUCCCUGCAAGCCUGCUAAGCUGGAAGAAUAUGUGUGAAGCUGCCAAGGGUCUUCCCUGUUGCUACAUGGAGACAUAGCAGCUUGGCAAUGAAGUCAAUACUAAGGAUAGCAGAGUUUAUGGGGAAGGAGAAUGAGAGAGAAAAUGAUGACACUGUGGCUUUUGAUCCAGCUGUUCUUAAAAGUAAUCAUCCGCGUUGAACUUCCUGGUUUAGAAGGCAGAAGAAAUCAGAGAGAAGGAUGGAGUGGGGAAAAGAAGAGGGAGGCUGACAGAGAAGCUUAAAGAAAUGCUUUCAGAUGGCAACAAAAGCCAAAAUAGACAAAUGGGAUUUAAUUAAACGAAAGAGUUUCUGCACAGCAAAAUAAACUAUCAUCAGCGUGAACAGGCAACCUACCGAAUGGGAGAAAAUUCUCACAAUCUACCCAUUUGACAAAAGGCUAAUAUCCAGAAUCUACAAAGAACUUAAACAAAUUUGAAAGAAAAAAAACAAUCCCAUCAAAAAGUGGGCAAAGGAUAUGAACAGACGCUUCUCAAAAUAAGACAUUUAUGCAGCCAACAGACAUAUGAAAAAAUGCUCAUCAUCACUGGUCAUCAGAGAAAUGCAAAUCAAAACCACAAUGAGAUACCAUCUCACGCCAGUUAGAAUGGCAAUCAUUAAGAAGUCAGGAAACAACAGAUGCUGGAGAGGAUGUGAAGAAAUAGGAACGCUUUUACACUGUUGGUGGGAGUGUGAAUUAGUACAACCAUUGUGGAAGACAGUGUGGUGAUUCCUCAAGGAUCUAGAACUAGAAAUACCAUUUGACCCAGCAAUCCCAUUACUGGGUAUAUACCCAAAGGAUUAUAAGUCACACUACUACAAAGACACAUGCACACGUAUGUUUAUUUUGGCACUAUUCACCAUAGCAAAGACUUGGAGCCAACCCAAACGUCCAUCAAUAAUAGACUGGAUAAAGAAAAUGUGGCACAUAUACACCAUGGAAUACUAUGCAGCCACAAAAAAGGAUGAGUUCAUGUCCUUUGCAGGGACAUGGAUGAAGCUGGAAACCAUCAUUCUCAGCAAAAUACCACGAGGACAGAAAACCAAACACUGCAUGUUCUCACUUAUAAGUGGAAAUUGAACAAUGAGAACACAUGGACACAGACAGGGGAACAUCACAUGUGGGGGCCUGCUCGGGGGUGGGGGGCUUGGGGAGGGAUAGCGUUAGGAGAAAUACCUAAUGUAA